rnacentral:rRNA from 1 species
AUUGAACGCUGGCGGCAGGCCUAACACAUGCAAGUCGAGCGAGCGGCGGACGGGUGAGUAAUGUAUGGGGACUGCCCGAUAGAGGGGGAUAACUACUGGAAACGGUGGCUAAUACCGCAUCCUUUCGGAUAACCCAUAUGGGAUUAGCUAGUGGGUGGGGUAAAGGCUCACCAAGGCGACGAUCUCUAGCUGGUCUGAGAGGAUGAUCAGCCACAAUGGAACUGAGAUACGGCCCAGACUCCUACGGAGGCAGCAGUGGGGAAUUUUGGAAAAUGGGCGAAACCCUGAUCCAGCCAUACCGCGGGUGCGAUGAAGGCCUUCGGGUUGUAAAGCACUUUUGGCAGGAAAGCGGUACCUGCAGAAUAAGCACCGGCUAACUACGUGCCAGCAGCCGCGGUAAUUC